GGUAGUGAAUGGUCCCUGUCCCAGACGCCUGGGUUCUAUAUUCUCAGAUCUUAUACAUACAGUCCCUGGUCAUCGAAUUAGGAUCAUGUACGAAAAUUUCACUUUUAUGGCUAUAAUAGUAUGUCAUAUAUGGAAAAUUCAAAUUAUUACUAAAUACGUCGAUAACCAAGUAUACAUUGCAAUAGAUUUGUUACUAUUGCGAUGAAAAUGAAAUUAUGUAGGCGAUGAGCUAUUAAGACUCAAAAGACUUGUUUACGACUCUCCAAGCACCACAUUAUCUGAGUUGAAAACAAAAAUGACAGAUAUUUGGGAAAAAACGAAGAUAUAAAUAGCAUAUGAUAAAGCUGUCAUCAAAGCAAAAGGUGGAAAUACGAGAUAUUAAUAUGUGUUAAUAAUGUUUUGUACAGUAGUAGUGUACUUUUAAUUUAAUUUUAAUUUUAAUUUUACGGAAAACGUGAAAAAUGCUAAAAAUUUGUAAUGGUCCUAAUUCGAUGGCCAGGGACUGUAUAUUUACGAGGCCCAUGAUGGAGCACUUGCGAGAAAGGAUGGAGUUACACGCGCGACACCUUGCGGCCGUCACGGGAAAAAGGCCCAAGGCGCCUGGGCGCCAUACUCCGCUUAUAACCCCCAGAAAUACAACUCCGUUUGUACAAUCUCCUGCGUAUAUUUCGCGCUCCUCUCAAAACGUGCCAAUCAGGACUGACUUUCCUCGCGAGGAAAAGUCCUCUUGCUCCGAAAAACCCCGAAUCCUUUAGGACUACUCGACCAACAUCUGGUGCAAUUAGCUUUCGGUCGUCGUCACCGGAUUUUCUACAAAUAUUUUGACAUUUCCUCUCGAUAACGUGUCAACGACGAAUGCUAAUUAGAGAGGUCGAAACGUUGAUUAAAUCUACAGAAGGAAAGAAUUCUGUUCUAACGAAUAGAGCGGCGACAGGAACGGGACUCGGCACGGUUUAUUUUCAGCCAAUUAGCCGCGGUUCGAAAGCGUCCAUGAACGAAUGCGUAUCAAAAGUGAAAAUUGAAUGAAUCCAGACGCGGCUUUCCGCGGCGUCGACUCGAUUAACGUCCAACGUAUUGUACGCGAUCGAGAUUAUCGGCAACAUAAUGAUCCUUAUUAACGCGGUAUUAGCACGCGUAUCUGGCGAGUUGCACGCAUCGCGAUUAACCCGCGCAAACGCGUGCACACAUACCUUUCCGCGCAUCGUCUCUGUUUCUCUCGGUUCGUCUCGUUGACAAAAUGCCUUUUGUCAGCCGGUCUACUGGCAAACAUGAGUUUAACUUGACGAGGCUUCGUUGCAACGAAACCGACCGAGAGAAAAGAGCUUCGGCGAGGUAGAGGGACGGGGUGGAGGCGCAACGAACGUAGGAAGGGGAGUGGAUGAACGACAAGGGUCAGCUGAUAGCAGACAAUUAUCUCUCAGUUUAACUCGAGCGAUCCGAGCCUCUGGCCGCGAUGUUGUAAAACAUUAUUGCGUGUACCGGGGAUCGAUCGUGCUAGCGAAAUCGGUUCGGCUAUCCCGGAAAAUGGAAAUUCCUGACGGUUAAUUGAAAUUCUUUUCUUCCUUACUUUCUUUUUCCGUUUGACAGUAAUAAUUAAAAGCACGGGAACAUAUUUUUCAACGAAUACGUUGAAAUUGUGAAAUAGAUGAAUACGGUGAAGAUAAUAUCGUUGAAAAUAAAAUGACCAACUAGUAGGAUCUGUUGUAAUAAUUCAGCUCCAUUGUGAUAGUGCUUCGUAGUGUGUAACACCGUGCAGCAAUUUCGAGUCUGUUUUGGAUAUCGCGUACCCCGGGUCCAGAAAACAGCUGGCCCGAGAAGGAAGGUCACCAACCAUGGAAUAUAAUUAGUACGCCACUUAUGGACCGCCAGGCCGGCUAUGGGUCCACAGAAAACAUGCUCGCUACGUGGCACACACGGUGGAAGUACUUGGAAAUCGGCCUUUGUGCGAACACGUGUGAACCCACGGACGACCGUGUUUCCUUCUUCAACGGGGCCUCCUUCCUUCCUCCUGCACGGCCACGAAAGGAACACUGGGAAAUGGUCGAUGGACGGUCGGAAAAACUUUCAAGGGGAACCAGCUUUUUUUCUUUUCUUUCUUUUUUUUCAGAAACGUUUGACACGUGAAGGCCUUCCUGUUGCUCCCUUUAUCGGACCAUCCAGUUUAUUUAAUCGCUGCAAGCAACGAGUCGUCAUUUUCCGCGUAUCGUGUAUCGUUUGAAGGAUGUAGCAAUCGUGCGCGCGUAUAAUUAUAUAGCUUCGCGUUAAAGCAUUUGCAUCAGACGCAGAUACAUCGGUUCAAUUCGCUUAAUCAUUGUCAGGGAGGUGGUUAUAUCCGCUCGUAAUAGUUCCAUAUAUAGGAAUAUUUUUCAUAGCAUUAACAUACGCUAUGAAUAUUUUUCAUAGUCGACAGUUAUUCGGAAUACGAUUAUUUCCUUCUGAUCGACGUCGGUCUGAAGAAGAGGAAAAUGGAUCCAAUAGAAACCGUGUAUAUCCUUCGAGUCCUCCGAGGAUGCAAAUGGAUUAACCAUAGCGAAAGAUCGUCCAAAGGUUUAAGAAACAACGAAAGAUCGUCCAAUUAACUUUCCGCCUUUUAAUUGAAUCUUAUCCCCUUUCUCGCUCGGUUCGCCCAGUUUCAUCGAGCUUCUCUCCAGUUAAUCGUAAAAGUCAAAAGUUUGCUCGAGAGUAGCUUCGACAAAGGUAAUUGAAAUCUCGAGUACACGGGACGAUUAAUUGCGGCUGAGACGAGGAGCAGAACAUUUCGGCGCACGGGCUCGGCUCGGUUUCUUCGACAGCUUGCAAAUUGCCGCGUCGAGUGGCACCGCGAAUAUCGUGUAAACAGGGACCGUUGGCGAAUGCUCGUCGAGACACGGGGUAUUCUUUCAAAUUUUUCAGACAAUUCGUUCCACCGCUGGAUGAGAACAAGCCUCUGCCGAAAGAAGAGGAAGAAGAGGAAGAAGAGGAAGAAGAGGAAGACGAAGCAAUUCCUUCGGACGUCGAGACGAAGGUACCCAGGUAUUCUUUUUAAGGCGGAACACUUUACUGCUGCUCGUUCCACGCUGGUAAUGGAGAAUCCCCCAGCCGCCCUGAGGAAUUAAUUCGGGGCUAACGCCGAGACACUCCCCGAUAUCGAGUCACUUUCCUCCCACGAAGCCGGCGUUAGUAUCUCGCUCGCCACCCUCUCGGUUAACUUUUCACCGUACUCCCUUGGCCACUUGGACCCGGACCCGGAACCGACGUUUUUCUUCCUUUUUUGUCCCGUUCACUGGAACGAUUUCUAAUUUACCCUCUAAUUUGCUCGUGAUCCUCGGAUCCGUUUAACUAGGUCAUUUAAAACAGAACCAAAAAAAAAAAAGGAAGUUUCCGUUACCUCGUACAUUAACCCUGGCCGUGUUUUUGGCCACGGUUUUCGCCAUCAAUUGUAUCUUUAAGCGGUCGCGCUCUUUAUUACCGAGAAUCGUAAUUUCCAAGAUAAACAAACUCUUGGCGACGUUCCACGCGAAUUAAGAGUGGCUCGGUAUUGCGGAGCUUUUAAUUAGCCUGAAAAAAAGAAUCGCCCGGAAGUGGCGGCCUAAAUUUUGCAGUUAAAGCUCGCCGCGUUCGAGUGUGCCGAAUAGUGGCGCGAUUACCGUACCGGUUGAAAAAGAUUUAUCGCUUAAGAAACCGUGUCGUCAUUCAAAGUAGCGAGGAAAUCGAGCGGAACGUACGUUUUUACAAGAUUCUUGGCGCGGUUCCUAGUCCUACCACCCCUCCUGGCCUCCCUCCCAUUCUAUCGCUCGAUUCCGAGAACAUUUACACAGGAGAAUAUCCAGGUAACAAAUACUUUCAUUAAUCAAGCGUUCGAGCAAUUCGUCUGUUUCUCUGUGCAAUUAGAAGCAAGCGGCAUUUAACAAUCCAUCUUUCGCAAAGCGUAUUUUUCUCCCCCUAGGGGUGACGCGGGAACGUCGAAGGAAGGGAAUCGAAAAGGGGCAUCGGCAUCGUGGCCCAGGGUGUCGUCUCCUAGAGCAUCUUUAGCAGCGGACGUACGAAGCGCGCGCAAAAGAGAUGAACGCGAGGACGAGGGCGGCCAGCGUCGAGUGAGAGAGAAUGAGAGGGGAAGAAACGACGACCGGGAAAGAGAGGGAAAUUCAAAGAUGGCGCCACGCAUAUACUCGUGAGAGAGAGAGAGGGGUGACGGGUUACGCGAGAGAGACGAUGACUCUCCGCUUCCUUCCCCUCUCGCUUCAACCACGACUGACCGAGCUGAAAGGUCCGAAUCCGAUCGUCGAAUGGUUCAGUAGUGCGCGAGACACAUUUCGUGUAACGUGUUUCGCUUCCUCUCGCUAUUGGCCGAUGAUUCACGAACGUUGCCGCAAAAUUGACGGAGGAUACACCGCGGACCAAUCCCUGAUUCCGUUACAUCAGCAUCCGACUCCGUGGGUCCUCGACGAUUGGCUCUUUUCGCGGAUGCGUUCGUUGAUGUUUCAUCCGUCGUCGUCUCGAGAGUGCUGCCCGCUAGUCUCAUGUUUCCUGGUGUUAUACUUUCGACCGGUAUAACGUGCGAAUCGAGUGUGUGUUCAAUCGUGCUUCCUAGACGAGAGAUUAGCGAGAGAAAGAAACCGGGGACGCGACGUACCCUACGUACCGGGCGAUGAGCCCCAGGGAGAGAAAGAAAGGGCGAGGAGAGAAGGAGAGAAGACACACGGGGUAUUUUGGACGCAGAUCGAUCAGCCGCAGCCGCUCUCCGGUUCGCGCCAUGUGACCGGUCAAAGACCAGUCUGUACGGGAUUGGAGGUUAGAAAAUAAGAUUUAUCGAGGGACAGUGUCAGUAAAGCGCGAGCGAGCAACCGAAGUGGUGGUCAUCGGUUCUCGUUCGGUAGUGUGUUCUUCGACGUGUUGUGCGGAUGCCGGGGUUUGAAGUUCGGUCUAGAGGGGAAAGAGAGACUCCGGCUGCUGCGAAUGUCGUUGUCUCGGGUCAGAUGUAAAAAUAAAAGGAAGCAGACAUGUCUCAAGGCUAUCGGACCGCAUAUUGUCUCGGCCAGGAGCGUAAAAUCACGCGGUCGUCUCCCUGGCUAUAUCGUUCGUUCCUCGUUCCGUUGGAUGGUACGCGCCCGCGCUCUUCUCUUCUCACCAUUGUGUUGCACAAUACGAAUAAUAACGUAACGCUGAUUUAACGAAGUAACGCCGUUGCUUCGUACGAUUCCUUGAUAAUGAGACAACGUAAACCGUGCCGGUUCGUUAUCGUGAACGUUUAAACCUUCGCGUCUAUUUUUACGGCGCGUCGAUACAACGAACCGCUUAAUUGCUCUGUUGAUAAACCUUGCCCGACGCGUAGGACCUGUAAUCGGUCGGGUUUUUGGUUCGUUUUUUGUACGAAACAUGCUUUCAGCGAGUCUUUUUUGUUUCUCUCUUUGGGUGACGAAACAAAAGAACGAAAGAAAAAGGAUCGUACGAGCCUGAAAUUCUAUAGGAUAUAUCGAGUUUGUGUGUUGCGCUUGUAUCGUUAGAACCGAUGCAUAGUUACAACUUUAUCGAAUGAUCGAUACCCGUGGAAGGUUAACGAUUGCGUGCUUCAAACGUUUUUUUAAUGUUUAUUGUUUUUGUAAAAUGCUUACAGAAGUUUGGUAGAAAAAUGUUAUCUUGUUUUGCAUAGAUUUUGAAGCACGUGUAUGUCAUAGUUUCACGGUGAACCACGUGUCUCCGUAGCGCUGCAGUAAAUCUUCUGCGAUGCUGGAUCUUGGUCCAUUUCUAUAGAAUAGAUUUGCAAAAUGUUUCGAAAACGUUUUGAUGAAUGUUAGUCUGUUAUAGCAAUGGAAAGCUCCCGUCGAUAAGAAGAGUAUAAGCUGAAAGCGACGUAUUAAAAAUUAAUCCAACGAUUAACGAUUGGAUGCAAGAACCGAGUGUAUUAAUUAUAAAACAGUCUCGAAAUGGUGGAAUAUCGGGAAGCUUUUAGUGGUUAUAUAUCGUGCAGUUCAUAGAUAACGUACUUAUCUAGGAAACCGAGAUUUGCCUACAAAAACUUGGACUAUUUUAGAUUAAUUUAAGCCGUUUUGAAAGUGUUGUGUAGGAGAUAUACCGCUUGUACAAAGUGCGUCUGGCAUACCACGUAAUCGAAAAUACUUGUAUUUUCGCAAUUUAGAAUCGUUCAAAUCAACGAGAAAAUUGAAGCCCGACGAGGUGGAUAAAACUGGGUCACAUUCGACUACUGAUUUCUGAAUUCACUGUCGUUGCAAAGUAACAACGUCGUUGAAAUCGAUAUCAAUUAAGCAAGGCUGAUCGUACUUGCUGGAAACCCCAUAAAGAGUAACCCCAUUAACAUGUUGACUGUCGUGAGGGUCACUGAUGACAGGCGGUACAAAUUUAAUAUUGCAAAUUUAAUUGAAUAGUCGAAGAAUAGACAAGAAAUUUUUAAUGAAACUUUAAGCAAAAACAUUAAAUUUGUGUUGCACAACAUUAGGGGCAGUCAACGUGUUAUCCAUAGUUUCCAAUAUUCAGAAAUUAAACACUACGUUUGUACAUCUCUUGUAAGCAUUGCAGACGAAAACUAGCGAGUCUGGACCAAGGUUAGAAGAUAGCGCGUGUUGUAUAAUAGCUACACGAGCUUGAUUCAGGGCCGUAAGUUACGAGCACGUGAGGGGCGACACGGUCUAUUUUUAUCUGCGGCUUGGAUACGGAAAACGUAAAAGUGUGAAGAUUCCAAGGAUAGCAGAGUCUAUUUGGAAUGACAAUUAACAGAUCUGAAUGACAUUUUUGAGUAACGUCCAGUUUGAAAUAAUUAUAGAGUAUCUUAUAUUCCAAAAACCAACAUUGUAAAUGUAGUUCUUCAUUAAUCAUCGAAGUCGUAUCCGUGCUCGUAAUUUUCUAAUUGUUUUGAAUAAUGAUGUGUAAUCUCGAUACACGAUAUACGUUGUGUGCAGUGGAUAUUAUGUUGCACGAAUUAUUGUUAAGAAAAUUGUAGAGCAUUGAUCAAUUUUCUAAAGGGUGCCAAACUCCCGCGUUUACCGACGCGUCCCGUUAACAAAGCGAGCCGAAUUUCAUUCAUAGAUUUGACGGAAAAGGUGGAAAAGAUCCACUGGUGUUUUCCAUAAAUGAUGUAGUUUUAUAAAAAUGUGAAAAAAUAUGUCUUUUACCUCCGCGUCGCGUGGGGUUAUCGAAGUCGCUUAUCGGUAUAGGAAAGCCGUUGGUUAUUUACAGAGUAACCGAUAAUUCAGGUUACGUCUCACUUGGUCCGUUGUAUUCUGGACGUUGAGUCACUGUCCAUGACUCAAGGGGACAGAAAUCUUGUUUGUCGAAAAGCGAAAGGCCUAUUCGAACACGCUCAGUCGAUAUCUCUUUUACCGGUCGCGUUCCGAAGAGCUGCUGUUGUUGCAGCCUCACUGACAAAAUAUAGGAGAUUAGCCGUGCUAACUCGGCACAUUCUGUGUAAUCGAGGCAAACAUAAAUUUCUUCUCCGAUUAGAUAAAAUUACGCGAUAAAAUGCAUUCCAUUCAACAUUGAGAGAUACGGUCAAUUACUCUUCCUCUAUCAAUACCGUCAUUCAUGGUAAAGGAGAAAAAAGAAAAAAAUGCGGCCGAAGGGUAGAUAGGAAUAUUUUUUCUUGUUGGUUUUAGGAUCGAUGGCAGUCGUAGACCUUCGUAAACGUAUUCCAGGGAAUUCGGUGAAGUUUUUUGGUAGCUUGGUGAAGAGGUUUCGUGCCCAAAGCCCCUUAUCAUUCUCCUGUCCGGUGUAGAAUUUUUAGACGACUGGACGGAGAACUGAUAAGGGCCCGAGGGUUACAGAAUCAUCGUGGGACUUGGCAUACUGCUAGAUGCAAAUUCAAGAUGGUGGGAUUUUUAAUAGAAACAAUACAUUAUACUCUUACAGCUCUUUGUAAUGUUUUACCGUAUAAUAAAAAUCUGAAAUAUAUCAUUACUUAGUCUUAUAAAUUAAAAAAAAA